UGCUGUUAUAUUUCAGACUGGAGCUCAUCUGUUCUCAGAAGCUAAGCAGGAUCAGGCCUGGUUAGUACUUGGAUAGGAGAAAGCUCCUGGAAAAGUUAGCAA
ensembl:rRNA 5S_rRNA 5S ribosomal RNA